UGUCAUUUCAGAAUGUUUGCUCAUGCAGC
rnacentral:piRNA from 1 species